GACGAACGCUGGCGGCGUGCCUAAUACAUGCAAGUAGAACGCACAGUUUAUACCGUAGCUUGCUACACCAUAGACUGUGAGUUGCGAACGGGUGAGUAACGCGUAGGUAACCUGCCUGGUAGCGGGGGAUAACUAUUGGAAACGAUAGCUAAUACCGCAUAAUAUUAAUUAUUGCAUGAUAAUUAAUUGAAAGGUGCAAUUGCACCACUACCAGAUGGACCUGCGUUGUAUUAGCUAGUAGGGGGGGUAACGGCUCACCUAGGCGACGAUACAUAGCCGACCUGAGAGGGUGAUCGGCCACACUGGGACUGAGACACGGCCCAGACUCCUACGGGAGGCAGCAGUAGGGAAUCUUCGGCAAUGGACGAAAGUCUGACCGAGAAACGCCGCGGGAGUGAAGAAGGUUUUCGGAUCGUAAAGCUCUGUUGUAAGAGAAGAACGGGUGUGAGAGUGGAAAGUUCACACUGUGACGGUAUCUUACCAGAAAGAGACGGCUAACUACGUG
rnacentral:rRNA from 1 species